rnacentral:tRNA from 1 species
GCUUUCGUGGUGUAGUGUUGUUCAUCAUGCUCGACGCGUAACCGAGAGAUCUGUGGUUCGAUUCCCGGCGAAGGCG